CGGAAGGCCCCUUGUGGGUACUCGAGCGGCGAACGGGUGAGUAACACGUGAGUAACCUGCCUUCCACUCCGGGAUAAGCCUGGGAAACCGGGUCUAAUACCGGAUACGACCGCCUCGCGCAUGCGGGGUGGUGGAAAGCGUCUAGUGGUGGGGGAUGGGCUCGCGGCCUAUCAGCUUGUUGGUGGGGUAGUGGCCUACCAAGGCGACGACGGGUAGCCGGCCUGAGAGGGCGACCGGCCACACUGGGACUGAGACACGGCCCAGACUCCUACGGGAGGCAGCAGUGGGGAAUCUUGCGCAAUGGGCGGAAGCCUGACGCAGCGACGCCGCGUGGGGGAUGACGGCCUUCGGGUUGUAAACCUCUUUCAGCAGGGACGAAGUUGGACGUGUACCUGCAGAAGAAGCGCCGGCUAACUACGUGCCAGCAGCCGCGGUAAUACGUAGGGCGCGAGCGUUGUCCGGAAUUAUUGGGCGUAAAGAGCUCGUAGGUGGCUGGUCGCGUCUGCCGUGAAAGCCCAUGGCUUAACUGUGGGUCUGCGGUGGAUACGGGCCGGCUUGAGGUAGGUAGGGGCAAGCGGAAUUCCUGGUGUAGCGGUGAAAUGCGCAGAUAUCAGGAGGAACACCGGUGGCGAAGGCGGCUUGCUGGGCCUAUCCUGACGCUGAGGAGCGAA
rnacentral:rRNA from 1 species